AUUGAACGCUGGCGGCAGGCCUAACACAUGCACGUCGAACGAGUGGCGGACGUGUGAGUAAUGUCUGGGAAUCUGCCUGAUGGAGGGGGAUAACUAAUGGAAACGGUAGCUAAUACCGCAUACCAUCGGAUGUGCCCAGAUUGGAUUAGCUAGUAGGUGGGGUAAAGGCUCACCUAGGAGACGAUCCCUCGCUGGUCUGAGAGGAUGACCAGCAACACUGGAAUGGAGACACGGUCAAGACUCCUACGGGGGGCAGCAGUGGGGAAUAUUGCACAAUGGGCGCAGGCCUGAUGCAGCCAUGCCGCGUGUAUGAGGAAGGCCUUCGGGUUGUAAAGGACUUUCAGCGGGGAGGCGUUACCCGCAGAAGAAGCACCGGCUAACUCCGUGCCAGCAGCCGCGGUAAUAC
rnacentral:rRNA from 1 species